UACGUAGGGUGCGAGCGUUGUCCGGAAUUACUGGGCGUAAAGAGCUCGUAGGCGGCUUGUCGCGUUGUUCGUGAAAAUUUACCGCUCAACGGUGAACUUGCGGGCGAUACGGGCAGGCUAGAGUACUGCAGGGGAGACUGGAAUCCUGGUGUAGCGGUGAAAUGCGCAGAUAUCAGGAGGAACACCGGUGGCGAAGGCGGGGUCUCUGGGCAAUAACUGACGC
rnacentral:rRNA from 1 species